CAGCCGCCGCGGUAAUACGUAGGGUGCGAGCGUUAAUCGGAUUUACUGGGCGUAAAGCGUGCGCAGGCGGCCCGUUAAGACAGGUGUGAAAUCCCUGGGCUCAACCUAGGAAUUGCGCUUGUGACUGGCGUGCUCGAGUACGGUAGAGGGGGGUGGAAUUCCUGGUGUAGCAGUGAAAUGCGUAGAGAUCAGGAGGAACACCGAUGGCGAAGGCAGCCCCCUGGGCCUGUACUGACGCUCAUGCACGAAAGCGUGGGGAGCAAACAGGAUUAGAUACCCUGGUAGUCCACGCCCUAAACGAUGGGUACUAGCCGUUUGGUGCGCGAUAGCGCUGAGUGGCGAAGCUAACGCGUGAAGUACCCCGCCUGGGGAGUACGGCCGCAAGGUUGAAACUUAAAGGAAUUGGCGGG
rnacentral:rRNA from 1 species